UUGAUCCUGGCUCAGAAUGAACGCUGGCGGCGUGCUUAACACAUGCAAGUCGAACGAGAAAUCUUUAGCUUGCUAGAGAAAGUAAAGUGGCGCACGGGUGAGUAACGCGUGGGUAAUCUGCCUCCGAAUCGGGGAUAACAUUGCGAAAGCGAUGCUAAUACCGGAUAAAAUCUGGUUGGCUUCGGUGAACCGGAUCAAAGGUGGUCUCUUUAUAAAAGCUACCGUUUGGAGAUGAGCUCGCGUACCAUUAGCUAGUUGGUGAGGUAAAGGCUCACCAAGGCGACGAUGGUUAGCUGGUCUGAGAGGAUGAUCAGCCACACCGGAACUGGAACACGGUCCGGACUCCUACGGGAGGCAGCAGUGAGGAAUUUUGCGCAAUGGGGGAAACCCUGACGCAGCAACGCCGCGUGAGUGAUGAAGGCUUUCGGGUCGUAAAGCUCUGUCAGGUGGGAAGAACCCACCAAGUGUUAAGACCACUUGGUGCUGACGGUACCACCGAAGGAAGCACCGGCUAACUCCGUGCCAGCAGCCGCGGUAAUACGGGGGGUGCGAGCGUUAUUCGGAAUCAUUGGGCGUAAAGGGCGCGCAGGCGGUUUUGUAAGUCAGAUGUGAAAUCCCGGGGCUUAACCCCGGAAGUGCAUAUGAAACUAUGAGACUUGAGUAUGGGAGAGGGAAGCGGAAUUCCUGGUGUAGCGGUGAAAUGCGUAGAUAUCAGGAGGAACACCGGUGGCGAAGGCGGCUUCCUGGACCAAUACUGACGCUGAGGCGCGAAGGCGUGGGGAGCGAACAGGAUUAGAUACCCUGGUAGUCCACGCAGUAAACGUUGAUCACUAGGUGUAGCGGGUAUUGACCCCUGCUGUGCCGGAGUUAACGCAUUAAGUGAUCCGCCUGGGGA
rnacentral:rRNA from 1 species